GAUAUCCGCUUCGUGCCCAGACCU
rnacentral:siRNA from 1 species